CAGGAAGUAGUUUAGUUAAAAUAAUAAUUUUGGAGAUUGUUGAGAGGUGAUGAACAUCUUUUCCUGA
rnacentral:tRNA from 1 species